AGGAUAAACGCUGGCGGCGUGCCUAACACAUGCAAGUCGAACGUCCUACGCAAGUAGGGAGUGGCGGACGGGUGAGUAACACGUGGGCAAUCUACCUUUCGGUGAGGAAUACCGGCGAGAAAUCGCCGACAAUACCGCAUACGCUUCGCAAGAAGCAAAGUCGCAAGACGCCGGAGGAGGAGCCUGCGCCCGAUUAGCUGGUUGGUGGAGUAAUGGUCUACCAAGGCGACGAUCGGUAGCUGGUCUGAGAGGAUGAUCAGCCACACUGGGAUUGAGAACGGCCCAGACUCCUACGGGGGCAGCAGUGAGGAAUUUUCGUCAAUGGGGGAAACCCUGAACGAGCAACGCCGCGUGCAGGAAGACACUUUUCGGAGCGUAAACUGCUUUUCUCGGGGACGAGUAAGGACGGUACCCGAGGAAUCACGCCCGGCUAACUACGUGCCAGCAGCCGC
rnacentral:rRNA from 1 species